AGGUUUCCGUAGGUGAACCUGCGGAAGGAUCAUUAUCGAGUUUUGAAGACCGAAGGCUUGUUGCUGGUACGGAAACGUACAUGUGCACGGCUUUCGUGCUCAAAUCCACUCAAACCCCUGUGCACUUUGAACGGUUGAAGUUAGUAGUCUAGUAGCACUCUCGACUCCGACUUAGUACUGUGAGUAUACAAGUAGGAGGGCUUGCUCUUGCGGCCUUUCGAACGUUAAGAGAAGAGAGGGUGAAGGGCGAACGCUUUGACUAGUUUAUAUUAUAAACCCUUUGUAUUGUUAUGUGAAUGUAAUGCUCCUUGUGGGCGAUAAUGAAGUACAACUUUCAACAACGGAUCUCUUGGCUCUCGCAUCGAUGAAGAACGCAGCGAAAUGCGAUAAGUAAUGUGAAUUGCAGAAUUCAGUGAAUCAUCGAAUCUUUGAACGCACCUUGCGCCCCUUGGUAUUCCGAGGGGCAUGCCUGUUUGAGUGUCGUGUUAAUCUCAAAUCACUUGUCUUUUUUGACUUGCGAUUUGGACUUGGAGGUUUAUGCUGGCCCGGGCGACUUUGUUGUCGCCCCUUUGGUUUGUCGGCUCCUCUUAAAUGCAUUAUCUGGACUUUGGUUCGCGUUUGCGGUGUAAUAGUGUGUUAUAAUACUUCACCAGAGCGCUUGCCUAACGGGUCUGCUUCUAAUCGUCCGUGUUACUUUAUUGUAAUAGGACAAGGAUCCCUUAGUGGCCUUACAUCUGACACCUUUGACCUCAAAUCAGGCAGGACUACCCGCUGAACUUAAGCAUAUCAAUAAGCGGAGGAAGAGAAAGUAGACAAGGAUUCCGCCUAGUAACUGCGAGGGAAAGGGGGGGAAAAAA
rnacentral:rRNA from 1 species